rnacentral:rRNA from 1 species
UACGGAAGGCAGCAGUGGGGAAUAUUGCACAAUGGGCGAAAGCCUGAUGCAGCUAUGCCGCGUGUAUGAAGAAGGCCUUAGGGUUGUAAAGUACUUUCAUCGGGGAGGAAAAACAAAACUAAUAAUUUUAUUUCUUGACGUUACCCGAAAAAGAAGCACCGGCUAACUCCGUGCCAGCAGCCGCGGUAAUACGGAGGGUGCUAGCGUUAAUCAGAAUUACUGGGCGUAAAGAGCACGUAGGUGGUUUUUUUAAGUCAGAUGUGAAAUCCCUGGGCUUAACCUAGGAACUGCAUUUUGAAACUGAAAUACUAGAGUAUCGUAGAGGGAGGUAGAAUUCUAGGUGUAGCGGUGAAAUGCGUAGAUAUCUGGAGAAAUACCUGUGGCGAAAGCGGCCUCCUAAACGAAUACUGACACUGAGGUGCGAAAGCGUGGGGAGCAAACAGGGAUUAGAUACC